rnacentral:lncRNA from 1 species
GCCGGCUGCAAGUAGAACUCUGCCAGUGGCGCGGCAUGCGCCAGCACUCCUCAGCCCUUGGGAGGUCGUUGGGACCAGGUGCUUGAGUGAUAGUCAAAUCUCCAUAUACCAAUCAUGGAGCAGAGGUGCUAUGAGAGAUUCCUAACUCCUGAAAAACUGUGACAAAGGAUUAGAAGUUUUAAGAUAUGUGAAAAUGGUUGAACCAUCUACAAGAACUCUAAAAAUCCAAAGAAGAAAUGUAGAUGAGGAAAAUCAAGUGGACUAUUACACUGAAAUAAGACUCACUAUUGAUGAUGAUAAAGAUAGAUAAAAAAUGGAAUAAUGAGAAAAAUAACUGGAAACACUAAGGACCGUAAAAUGCAAUGGAUGAUCCAGCAGUAUACAAGUUUGGGAGCGUGAUGUUAGAAAUUUGUAAAAACUUGAGAAUGGAAGAUUUGGGGACAAUCUUCAAAUAUAUUAAAUAAAUUCCCUCAAUGUUGUCAAGAUGGAAAUGUUCCUCUGGGAUCACUGUCUGUAACAGCCACUGAAUAACAAAAUCAUUGUGUAUACAUGUGAAGAAAAUAACCUGCAGAGUGCAUACUAAAGAACAUAGCUUAGCAAUGACUUUCACAUCACAGGAUACAAAGAUAAAGUCACCAUCUGGAAAUGGUUCAAGCUACUUUCAAAUAUUUGGCCAGAAAAACAAAUGCAUCAAUAUUUUAUUAAUAGCUAUUAAGCCUUGCUUAAUGCAUAUGUUAUGUAGCAUAUGGGCAAAGUUAUUACUAAUUCCCAUAUAAAGACAUGAAAACUCUAAUACGUGUUUGGCAGAGCCACUAACCUUCUAGGAUCCCACAUUCUGGGAUCCUGACCCAGCCAGUGGUAGCCUCCGAGUAAGAAGAGCAGGAAGAGGAAUAGCUGGACUUGCAGCACAAGUCAUACAAAAUUUUAAAAUUUUUUCCUAGGGUUUUUUCCGCCCUCAUUUGGCUUCAGAAUCAAGACUGAGUUUGUGCAUCCAGUUUUAGAUGGAACAUUGAAAAACUUGCAGAUAUAUGAGGCAGUGGGGGAAGCAACAAGGAUUAUGGCUAAUCUAGUGACUAAGUCCUAGGAGGGAAGGUUGAAGAAGCUGGAUUCAACACUCAAUAGAGUGAUGGUACUCCUCCAAUAUGCCAGGGACUGAACCAUGCUCUGGGGAGAUGGUGCCACCCCGGAUGUGGAUGUGUGAGAAGCCAGCCCACUUCAUGGAUAAGCGUAGGUGUCUGCCUUCCAGAGUCCGGGGCUGCAGGCCGAAACGCCCAAACUGCUGCCAGAAGACAUAAUCCUGUUUGUGAAUGAUGGCUUCUGCAUCAUUUAGCUUUGUUGGGGAGAUCCUAGUAUAAGAUCUGUUGAAUAGCUGACGACAAAGGCCUGUGAAUUCCCAAAUACUUGCCUUUCAACGUGAGGAACCUUCUGCAGUAUCUCCAGUGAGACAUUGCCCAGGGGAGUCAUGCACAAGUGGGCAGUCUCUUAUUCUUAUCAGAAAUGAGGUAUAUAACCAUACAUUCAUAGAUAUUGCUCAGGAACCCAGGCAAAAAUUAUAAUCCCCCUUGUCAUGUUAGACACUGCAAAAGCUGCGUUAGAGUUCUGGAUCUUCCCUUUUGAA